rnacentral:ncRNA from 1 species
GACAUCUAUCGCCAAACCCGCUGCGAAGUGGGGGCGGAAAGUCUCGGGUCUUGAGAUUCGUUACAAGACGGCUGGAUUGCUCCC